ACAUCGGAUAGUGGAGCGGUCGUCGAUCAGGGACUCAUCACCAUCCAUCACCUGAAGAAGAGAAAGUCGAGCGCGAGAGCGAACAUCACUCUGUCUGG